rnacentral:rRNA from 1 species
UAGGGAAUCUUCCACGAUGGACGAAAGUCUGAUGGAGCAACGCCGCGUGAGUGAAGAAGGGUUUCGGCUCGUAAAACUCUGUUGUUAAAGAAGAACAUAUCUGAGAGUAACUGUUCAGGUAUUGACGGUAUUUAACCAGAAAGCCACGGCUAACUACGUGGCAG